rnacentral:rRNA from 1 species
UACGAAGGGGGCUAGCGUUGCUCGGAAUCACUGGGCGUAAAGCGCACGUAGGCGGAUCCUUAAGUCGGGGGUGAAAUCCUGGAGCUCAACUCCAGAACUGCCUUCGAUACUGAGGAUCUCGAGUCCGGGAGAGGUGAGUGGAACUGCGAGUGUAGAGGUGAAAUUCGUAGAUAUUCGCAAGAACGCCAGUGGCGAAGGCGGCUCACUGGCCCGGUACUGACGCUGAGGUGCGAAAGCGUGGGGAGCAAACAGG